GACGAACGCUGGCGGCGUGCUUAACACAUGCAAGUCGAACGGAAAGGCGCUGAUUUUGUGGGGUGCUCGAGUGGCGAACGGGUGAGUAACACGUGAGUAUCCUGCCCUUGUAUUUGGGAUAACUUCAGGAAACUGGGGCUAAUACCCGGUAGGAGCUCCUGCUGCAUGUGGGGGGUUGGAGAGUCGCGGCGGUUGUGCCUGGAGUCGCGGCAUAGGCGCUUGUUGGUGGGGUAGUGGCGUAACAAGGCUUUGACGGGUAGCCGGCCUGAGAGGGUGACCGGGCACAUUGGGACAGGGGUACGGCCCAGAGGCCAUCGGGAGGCAGGAGUGGGGGAUAGAGCACAAAGGGCGGAAGCCUGAUGGAGCAACGCCGGGUGGGGGAAGACGGCCUUCGGGUAGGAAACAGCGUGCGCGUGUGACGAAGCGUGAGUGAGGUUAAUGGGGAAAGAAGCACCGGCUAACUACGU
rnacentral:rRNA from 1 species